UCUCUGUGGGUUUUGUGGGUCUGGAGAGUUACGUAGAAGCGCCUGCCGUUUUUCCUGACAACGCUGAGCCCUACGCAGGACCACUGCUCUGGGCAUGUCAUCUGCUGUGUUUCCUCAGCUCACAGAGAGACAGGGCUGUAAUGGGUCUUGGUCAUGGCAGCUACUGCUUUGCACUCCUGCGGUCCAUCCCAGCUGUGUUUUACGUAGUUCUGGUCACCUCGCUCCGAUACCACCUUUUCAUCUGGAGCGUGUUUUCUCCGAAACUCUUAUAUGAGGCCAUGCACACCCUCAUCACCACCGCUGUGUGUCUGUUUUUCACCUUUAUGGAUCAGGAACUCUCGGCCAGACCGUGAAUACAGAACCAGAACCAGAACCAAAGCCAAACUCAGGUACAGAACAAACGGUGCAGUUGAGUUUUGUGCACCAAAAGAAGAAAUAAAUUGAGAGAAAAAGCGAUGGGAGAAGGUUUUAGGUAAUUCUACUACUGUGAAUGAGGUCAACGUUGAGAAUUCAGAGCUUACAUGGAGAUUUGGCUCACUCUAUUGACUUUCACUCAUUUGUGUAUAUGGGAUUAAAUUAUUUUUAUAUUAUUUUGGGAGGUCAUUGAUAGUGCAGAUAACAUAUGGCAAGACUUGUGGGCAUACAUAUGAUUUUCCCUCUCAUUCUCUAUGCAGUUUUCUUUCUAAAGCUUUACAGAUAAUGGAGAGUGUAAUUCUUUUUGAAUCUUGCAAUUUCCGCUCCUGACCGUUGCUUCACCUCUAGAAUAAUACGAGAUAAGAUACAUCAUUAAUAACUCUCCCCUCACUGAGAUCACAGCAGAUAUUAUCCUCAUGCACUUGAAAGCUUUAAGGGAUCUUAAAAGUCUUUUAAAUCAUAUCUAAACACAGCUACACGUGACGUUUUUGUUUAAUCAGCCUGUUGGAAAUGUAAAUUGUAAGCUGAUUUAUCUUGGAAAGUGUUGUUUCUUAGAUCUGGUUAAUAAUAAAAUAAACCCAUUUCUGA